rnacentral:lncRNA from 1 species
GAAUCUAUGCUUAAUGAAUUAAUGUUGAAUAAGAAAAAAGAGUUUCAAAAACCUAAAAUAAAAUAAAUUAAAAUAAAAGGAAUUGAAUAUUUAAAAUACAAAAAAGAAAGAGAUAAUGAUUUAUUUGGCCAUCCAACUUUACAAAAAAAUUUAUAUUAGCCCUCCACUUAAUUUGUCUCCUUUCUUAACUCUUAAAUGUUUG